rnacentral:rRNA from 1 species
GUCUGCUUGAUUAAUAAAAAGCAGUCUGGCCUGCCCACUGAUAUUUUUUAAAGGCCGCGGUACUCUGACCGUGCGAAGGUAGCAUAAUAAUUAGUCUUUUAAUUGAAGACUGGAAUGAAUGGUCGGACAAAAAGUAAGCUGUCUCAGUUUUAAAAGUUGAAAUUAACUUUUAAGUGAAAAGGCUUAAAUAUUCUGAAAGGACGAUAAGACCCUAUAAAACUUUAUAUAUAAAAUUAUAAACGUCGAUUUAUACAUCCAAAGUCGUUUUAUAAUUUUAUAUAUUACGUUGGGGAGACGUAAGUAAAACAAAUAACUGCUUUUUAUUUUAAACAACCAUAUUUGAUUUAUAAAUGACCCUUUCUAAAGAUCUAAAGAUAAAGUUACUUUAGGGAUAACAGCGUUAUUUUUUUUAAGAGUUCAUAUCGACAAAAAAGUUUGCGACCUCGAUGUUGAAUUAAAGCAACCUUAUAGUGCAGCAAUUAUAAAGGUAGGUCUGUUCGACCUUUAAAAUUUUACAUGAUUUGAGUUCAAACCGGCGUGAG